UUGAUGACAACGUGUCGCCACCGAAUCCUUCACAGUUCUGGCGGUAAACGACUUGUUAUUUGACGAAAGUUAAAAUCCAGUUAAUUUGUGCAAUACCGCCACUUUCUGCUCCGGAGUGCUUCCACAGAAAUCACGGGAAAGCGAACGUGGUCCCUCAUUAUCGAGUGGAGUCACUGUGAGUGUGAACGGUGUGUGAUUCGGUGUCUCUGUUCGGCGGUGCUUCUGGACCUCAUACUUACCUGGCAGGUUGAUUGAUGUAACAACUUCGGAACCACCACAUUAUCUCAGGUUUUACGGGAAGGAGUUUAGGAGAGGCGCGCACACAGAAACAGUUCGGCUAUGAUGGAUGGAGCCGCAGUGGAGCAGGAGCAGAAGAGGAUUUUUUACACCAAAACUGGGAACCAGCAAAAAAUAAAGGUGAACAAUGAUUGGAUUGUUAAGGGAAAAGAACAAAGCAGGUUGCAGGUUGAGAAGUGGUUUACCUCACUACGUUUGCUACCCAGGAUCUACCUAGGAACACGGUUCAUUUCAAGUCGGGUAUGUGAGUCGACAGUGUUGAGUGGAGUUUUAUACCAAAACUACUGUGUUUCUGUAACCCUGCAUUUCUGAAGCUCUUGUGUUAUU